rnacentral:lncRNA from 1 species
AGGAGUGGGUUGUGGAGUUCAAAAUGGGACUAGGCCGCGGUUUUGGGCCCAGUUUUAUGGAAUUUGCCCACCCACUUGACUACUGACCCAGUCCACAACCCAGCCUUCUUCGGUCAUUCAAAACGAUGCUAUAGAGGACCUAAACGGUGUCAUUUCCUGUUCAUCGUCUUUAACUAAAACACCCAUUCCCCUCUUGAGAAAAAAACGGACGAACCCCCUCUCUAAAAUCAAAACCCUAGCCGCCAGUCCCCUUUCCUUUUUCUUCGCACCUACUCUCACACACAAACCUCCCCCUACACUUCAUACAUACGCACACGAUUCUACAACCUCUCAUCUACACUCAUUCUACAUUCAUGCUCCUACACCCACACACAUUCGUUCACAGCAGACACCAUUAGCUAAAAAUAGUUUUGUUUGAAAUUCAAAUUAAAAAAUAACCCGGAUCUGAAAGAGAUAUUCUCGAAAAAAAAAACAAAGUAUUUUUGAAGAGCUGUCUCUCUCUGUUGAUUUGUGGUGUAAUUUCCUGGGUUUUUUGAAGUCGAAUUAAGUUUUUUAAGGGUUGUUUGUUGUUGAUUAUCUCCUGGGACUAUAGCUAAACUUUAUGCCUUUCUCCAUUACUGAUUCUCGCUAUUCUGAUUUAAGGUAUUUCUGUGAUCUCUAUCUUGUAAUCCAUUUUUAUUUGAAUAUAUAAGAUCAUUAUAAAAUGAUUUGGUGAUUUGGCAAUGAAACUUACAUGUUUUCCUCUACUAGAUUGAAUGGUCGUAACAACUAAAUGUGCUACUCCUUCAUGUCCAAAAUAAGUGAAUUUUUGACUUUUUUUUGGUUCAAACUAAGUAAUUUUUUCAGAAUUAAUUUUUUUUAUAUUGUUGGAAUAUCUGUUAUGAAUGUUUAUGUGAGAUAUUAAAUAUUAGUAUGGUCAAUUUCAUUACUAAUUAAUGUUAAAAUAUAAAUUUUUUAAUAUUUGUGAAAACAUCCAAAAAAAAAUUGCUUAUUUUGGAGUAUAAAAUAGUCUUGUUUGGACUCGAAUUCCUCACAGUUGCAAUUACUAAAUUUUUUGUUGUUAAAAUUAUCCUUGUGGUGUUCAGUGACUGGAAGUACUGUGAUUAUCAUGUAUAUUAACUACGGUGAUAAUCAUGUAUAUUAGCUACUGAUUGGAUAGAUCAACGGGUAUUAAAGCUCACGAAAGGCAUUUAAUGUGGCUGUUAUUGUAAAUUUAAAUUAUGAUUUCGUUUGCCAUGAAUUGAUUGUUAUAGUUGUAAAUUUAGACGAACAUGAAUGUGUACUUGGUUCUUUUUUGCAUAUUGUACGUUAAGUUAUAUUGCAUAUGGUGUUAACUAGUGGAAUGGCCGUUGGGCCUUGCCCAUCGGCAGAAUUGAGAAGAGACAUAAAUUCUGAAGUGACAGGACCGUGUGGGAAACAAUUCUUGAAUAUACGUAGUAUGCUUUUAGGCAUGCUUUUAAUCU